AGGAUUACUUGCAGGGGAGAGGAUAAAAAAAUAACAAAAGAUAUGAUUGAAUUUUUUCGGUAUAGAAGAUCAAGGUUAUCAUAGGCUCAUCUAGUUAUGAGUAGCAGCAGCUUCUAGAAAAGGAUAAAGCUUGAGGUGAUGCAGUGGGUGUGGUGCUAAGAGCGUGAAGUUAACACAUGCAAGUUUUCUAAACAUUACUCUUGUAUCUUAACGUGUAUAAACUUUAACAAACACAAAUUGGAUAUCAUGUUAAUUUAUUAUCAAUUAUUCAAUAAUUUAUCAAUUUAAAAUGAGCCAUAUUUGAGACUAACCUGAUAAACUUUUUGUGAUAACCCCAAACCUCGCUUAAAAAGGCUAGCCGAAAGAUAUUAUUUGAGUUCCUUGAUCCUAUAUAGUCAUCCAAGAUUUAUCUAACAAAUAACCGAUGUAGAAUUGAACACAUAUCUGCACAGCUUCUCACAUACUCUUCUUGUUUAAGCUCUGACAUCCUCA
rnacentral:lncRNA from 1 species